GCUCUGUCCGGCUCACAAAGGACCCUUGUUCCAUCCGUUCGGGCUGCAGGGAGAGACAGGGAGUGAGUGAUGGGACAGCUGAGGCGUCCGUGGAAGUGCGAGACAAAGUGGCCUGGCCUGUUCUCAUCUGUCACAGACAGGCUGUGUUAGAGACCACACAGACGGUCAGGUUCCGAGGUUUCAGCGGAGUCAGGAAUAAAGCAGCCUCUUGACAGCAUUUGAUGGAUGAGCUAAAGCAGUGCUUCUCAAACUUGGGUGUGCAUCGGAACCUGGGGGCUCCUUACAGCACGACUGGCUGGGCCCCACCCUCAGAGUUUCUCUGGGUGAGGUCUGAAAAUCCGCAUCUCUCAGGUGAUGGGGCAGCUUCCGGAACUGCACUGUGCACAUCACUAUGCUACAGUAUACUUUUGAAAAGGAUUGAUAUUCUCCAACGCAGAGCGGAUCGAUGCACGUAAUUCUUGCAGAUUUCCUUUGGCUUUGCGCCGUGAGGGAGGGAGACAGUUGGAAACGUCGUGAUUUUGAGAGGAAGCCGGUGUUUCCUGAAGCCUUUGUUUUGGGUGCGCCUUAACCGCACCUGCGUUUCUUGCAGCUUCUUACAAAGAAACUUCUUUUUUUUUUUUUGAGAGUCAAAAUAGUUGAACUGAAGUUAUUUUCAACCGGAGGGAAAUGUUUGAAAGCUCAGCCUUUGUGAGCCCAAAGAGCAUUGUUUCAUCGACAGUGAUUGAAACAGUCAUUUCCUUUGGGAAGUCUUUGCCAUUGAAGCAAACUUUGAUUUUGGAAGCAAAAGUUUUGGCUUUAAAGAUGGGAUCCAAGUGUUACACCUUCUUCUCAUAGCUCCCCGGCCAUUUAUCGGAGUGCUGUGAUAGUAAGGUUGUUUGCAUUUGAACAGAAAGACCUGCUCUGGCCAGCUGGGCUGAUGCUAAGAGGCAGUAUAGUUCAGUGGUGAGGAGCACAUCCCUUACAGCUGGGCUGCCUGGGUUUGCCUCACUCUGCCACUUGCAAGCUGGAAUCUUCGGCAAAUUACAUAACUGUCCUGAACUUCAGUUUCUGCCUUUAUAAAAUGGG
rnacentral:lncRNA from 1 species